UGAUAAUAUUCCCAUUUGAGAGGAGACCGUCUACCGGUGGAGGAGGAGGGUGACAUAUAUGGAGCGCGUGUAGACGACAGUCUGUUAAAUAUUCAUGAUUGUGCACUUGCGGCUUGACAUGUGUACGGCAGAUGCUCGCCACAGUGGGUUACCAGGAUGGCUGAAUGGUUGCACACACCUCGGGAGUGACGUAGGAGAGGAAGACUUGGAAGAGGAGAUCGUUGGAGAAGCGCUGGAGGAACUCUGGAGGUUAGGAGAUUUCUGCUGGAGAAGAGCACGACAACAGCAGUGAUCAAAGGUUUUCAUUAAGGAAGUGAUGACAGAGGAGCACAGGCACAGGCACCUGCUUCUUCUGAAGGGAAAGAUCCGCCCCCUCCACACACGACCAGAAUGAACUAAAAAGAAUGAGUUCAAAUCAAUGCAAAAUCAAUUUAUCUUAUUUCACACAAGGCUGCCUCUUAGGGAUUAGACGCAAGAAACUUAAUAGAUCAACAUUAGCAAAUGGAAACUAGUUUUUAUGACACAAUGCUUGCAAAUAAGGAGAC
ensembl:lncRNA